rnacentral:rRNA from 1 species
GACGAACGCUGGCGGCGUGCUUAACACAUGCAAGUCGAACGGAAAGGCCCUGCUUUCGUGGGGUGCUCGAGUGGCGAACGGGUGAGUAACACGUGAGUAACCUGCCCUUGAUUUUGGGAUAACGUCAGGAAACUGGGGCUAAUACCGGAUAGGAGCCCCUGCUGCAUGGAGGGGGUUGGAAAGUUUCGGCGGUUGGGGAUGGACUCGCGGCUUACGAGCUUGUUGGUGGGGUAGUGGCUUACCAAGGCUUUGACGGGUAGCCGGCCUGAGAGGGUGACCGGCCACAUUGGGACUGAGAGACAGCCCAGACUCCAACGGGAGGCAGCGGUGGGGAAUAUUGCACAAUGAGCGGGAGCCUGAUGCAGCAACGCCGCGUGCGGGAUGACGGCCUUCGGGUUGUAAACCGCUUUCGCCUGUGACGAAGCGUGAGUGACGGUAAUGGGUAAAGAAGCACCGGCUAACUACGUG